GGGAAAAAAAACAUAAAACCUAAGAUUUCUCAUCCCUGGGGCCUUGGGGCCAGGCAGAGGAGGAACCUGAGACUCCUAGCCAUGCGACUCCUGAGAUUCGCAGCUUACAGUUAGUUACUCAGUGUCUUCUGGUCUCACAGGAUGAGGCAGAGGUAUAAUUAAUUCCUUCUCCAUCUCUCCGGAAAGAGCUUUUCUCCUGUCUGUGACAAAGGA